UACCUACCUUCGUUUUUUUCAUUAUUCUGCAUAAAAUUCAUGGACAGGUAUGUAUGUAUCGUAUCUGUAUCCUGUAUAAAUACCGUUGCUUUUCCUGUAUAGUUUUCAGAUACUUACUCACCUAUCCAUUCUUUUCUUAUAAUUCUUUGUGAAACAGUAUACGUAGAAGAAAAACAAAAAAUGCAUAAAAUUGCAACUUUCGCGAUCACUUUAUUGAUGGUGUAUGCUGCUGUAGUAAUUCCAGUGAUCGAGUCUGCGAGCUGUCCCGUUGCUCAAAAAACAUUUAGCAGCCAAUCAGCUUGCGAGUCGGAAUGUCAUCAGGGAUGUACUUCUAAAAACUGCGGUGGAUAUACAGGAUGUAAGCAAAUGGGAAGCCAAUUUAAAUGUUCCUGUUUACACUUCCCCUGAAAUUUUUACGUUCAAAUAUCGUUAUUGGGAUCCGCCGGAGAAUGUUGGAGGUUUAUAUAGAUUUUGGAAAAGUUAAAUCUAUACAAUACCCUUCUUAAUACUAACAGAAUGGGUCCUUUCGAUACGGACAUAGAAAUACACUAGGUAAUUAUGUAAUAAUUACGUGCACAAAGUUUAAUUUCAAAGGUAUCUUGGAUAAUAAUAAAAAAUACUUCUUGACUUGA